rnacentral:rRNA from 1 species
AGUGAACGCUGGCGGUAGGCCUAACACAUGCAAGUCGAACGGCAGCACAGGAGAGCUUGCUCUCUGGGUGGCGAGUGGCGGACGGGUGAGGAAUACAUCGGAAUCUACUCUGUCGUGGGGGAUAACGUAGGGAAACUUACGCUAAUACCGCAUACGACCUACGGGUGAAAGCAGGGGAUCUUCGGACCUUGCGCGAUUGAAUGAGCCGAUGUCGGAUUAGCUAGUUGGCGGGGUAAAGGCCCACCAAGGCGACGAUCCGCAGCUGGUCUGAGAGGGUGAGCAGACACACUGGAACUGAGACACGGUCCAGAGUCUUACGGGAGGCAGCAGUGGGGAAUAUUGGACAAUGGGCGCAUGCCUGAUCCAGCCAUACCGCGUGGGUGAAGAAGGCAUUCGGGUUGUAAAGCCCUUUUGUUGGGAAAGAAAUCCAGCUGGCUAAUACCCGGUUGGGAUGACGGUACCCAAAGAAUAAGCACCGGCUAACUUCGUGCCAGCCGCCGCCGUAA